rnacentral:lncRNA from 1 species
CAAAGGGAGUGACAGAUUUAGGGAAGGUAAUCAGGUAGGAAGAACCAAAGGGAGUGACAGAUUUAGGGAAGGUAAUCAGACAGGAAGUACCAAAGGGAGUGACAGAUUUAGGGAAGGUAAUCAGACAGGAAGAACCAAAGGGAGUGACAGAUUUAGGGAAGGUAAUCAGGUAGGAAGAACCAAAGGGAGUGACAGAUUUAGGGAAGGUAAUCAGGUAGGAAGAACCAAAGGGAGUGACAGAUUUAGGGAAGGUAAUCAGACAGGAAGAACCAAAGGGAGUGACAGAUUUAGGGAAGGUAAUCAGACAGGAAGAACCAAAGGGAGUGACAGAUUUAGGGAAGGUAAUCAGACAGGAAGAACCAAAGGGAGUGACAGAUUUAGGGAAGGUAAUCAGACAGGAAGAACCAAAGGGAGUGACAGAUUUAGGGAAGGUAAUCAGACAGGAAGAACCAAAGGGAGUGACAGAUUUAGGGAAGGUAAUCAGGCAGGUUAUGGAGUCCAGGUGAGGCUGAUGAGGCGCUGGUGUGCUAACGAUAGUGACAGGUAAGCGUCAUAAUGAGCGGCCUGGUGACCUGGCGCGCCGGAGAGGGAUUAUGGG